rnacentral:lncRNA from 10 species
CAUGACUCGCAAAGAGAAGGGAAGAUGGAACUGCCAUUUUGCACGUGUCAAGUUUCAGGUCUUGACGUUGGGAAGUAAAAGAUCAGAGUGCUGGCAGAUUUUGGUGUCUAGUAAAGGACGGCUUUCUAGUGUAUAGAUAACACCUUCUAUCCAUGUCCUCACAUGGUGAAAAAGUGACUGUAAGUUUCCUGAGGCCUCCCCAGAAGCAGAAGCCUGUAUACUCGGCAGAAGUGUACUUCAAUAGGAUGUUGGAAAAGAAGACUUCCACUCUAAUAGGAUGAAAAAAUGAUCAUUUAUUUACAUCAUUCUGAUUUCUUUUAAUUGCUUCACAAUCCACUAUAAAGAAGAUUCGCUCUGACCCUAAAUUUUCUACUUUUUUUCCCACUUUUCUCUCACAUAAAUUAGGUGUUUCAUUCUUUUUCCUCCUUAUUAUUUUAUUUACACCAUUCUGUGUUGAGCACAGAAAGGUGGAAGUAUAUAGCCCUGUUCUCUGUUUUUAAUGCUCUGUAUAUUUUUGUUUCCUUUUCUGUGGAAUCAGUUUUUCAUUAUCCUUAUAGAAUCAGUUUUUCAUUAUCCUUAUAAGGAGAUGCCAUUUUUCUCAAUCUUUCCUUAAAAUCUAACUAACUUCUUUACUAAGUCAUUUCUGUUCCUUAUAGAAUAGUGAAUGUGACUGUUCUUAGUGUAUUGACUGGUCCCUUUACAUCAGCAUUGUAACUUUUAGGUAUUAGUUUACUUUCAUAUGAUUGUUAUUUCAUAUAUCAUUGUGAACAUAUUUUUUUCCAAAAAUAAAAUACAUAUUGACCUAAAAGAAAUUGCAUCUAAAAGAA